rnacentral:rRNA from 1 species
GAUCCUGGCUCAGGAUGAACGCUGGCGGCAUGCCUAAUACAUGCAAGUCGAACGAGAGGAAGGAAAGCUUGCUUUUCUGAAUCUAAUGGCGAACGGGUGAGUAACACGUAGGUAACCUGCCCAUGUGCCCGGGAUAACUUCUGGAAACGGAUGCUAAAACCGGAUAGGUAGCAGACAAGCAUUUGACUGCUAUUAAAAGUGGCCUUGGCCAUGAACAUGGAUGGACCUGCGGUGCA